rnacentral:rRNA from 1 species
UACGUAGGGGGCAAGCGUUGUCCGGAAUCAUUGGGCGUAAAGCGCGUGUAGGCGGCUUGAUAAGUCUGCUCUGAAAGCCCGGGGCUCAACCCCGGGAGGCGGGUGGAUACUGUCGAGCUCGAGUCCGGAAGAGGCGAGUGGAAUUCCUGGUGUAGCGGUGAAAUGCGCAGAUAUCAGGAGGAACACCAAUGGCGAAGGCAGCUCGCUGGGACGGUACUGACGCUGAGACGCGAAAGCGUGGGGAGCAAACAGG